AUUGAACGCUGGCGGCAUGCCUUACACAUGCAAGUCGAACGGCAGCACGGGAGCAAUCCUGGUGGCGAGUGGCGAACGGGUGAGUAAUAUAUCGGAACGUGCCCGGUCGUGGGGAUAACGUAGCGAAAGCUACGCUAAUACCGCAUACGAUCUACGGAUGAAAGCGGGGGAUCGCAAGACCUCGCGCGAUUGGAGCGGCCGAUAUCAGAUUAGGUAGUUGGUGAGGUAAAGGCUCACCAAGCCGACGAUCUGUAGCUGGUCUGAGAGGACGACCAGCCGCACUGGGACUGAGACACGGCCCAGACUCCUACGGGAGGCAGCAGUGGGGAAUUUUGGACAAUGGGCGCAAGCCUGAUCCAGCAAUGCCGCGUGCAGGAUGAA
rnacentral:rRNA from 1 species